UGUCAAUCAUAGUUACCUUCGUCCGUUCAAAAUUUCGUAAACAACAAGUGAAUACAGUUUUACCGUUUUACAGUCAUUUUUUUUUUUUGAAAGCGGAUUCCCGGAUACCGGAUCACCGAAUUAUUGUAUCUAUAUAGUGGACAACUGAAGAUCCCGUCUCUGUCCGAAAUGGUUUCCAGGGUGUCUGCUAUAAGAUGAAUUGGACCAGUAACAUUGAAAACCAAUUCCCCGGGAUUGAACAGAAUUAACAAUAAUUUCAAGGAAGACAGGACAUGUCCUGUAGGACGACAUUGUUGCUGAUUCUGCCAUCUUAAUUAUAAAUACAACUAGGCGGUGUCGGAAAGGUCUUCAGAACGGCAUGUAACAAAUGGGCUGCAUUCUAUAAAGUGACACGAUACUGGACAUGAACCUAUAAUUUAUUAAAGUGUAUUACCGCUCAUGUUUCGUAAAACAUUUGUAUUAAAACAAACAUCCUAGCUACAGUUUUUGAAAUUUAUUUUUUUUUUUAUGAUAAUACAAAUAUGUACAUUAUUCAGUUUAUCCAGCUUUUUACGCUGGAUGAGGGGUGAUUCGAUUUUGACAAUUCUUGCCGACAGCCCUUGCAGCAUCAGAUCUCAUCAGAGUAGCCAAAAAUUUCAGUUCAACUGAUGCAAAAUGUCAAAAAAUUUCACUUUGUAUUUUCAAGUGUCUAUGUUUGAAUUAAAUAAAAGCCUUUUCUAUCAUUUUAGGUUUGCGAUGGCCACUACCACAAAUCGAAUCGAAAAUGCCGAUGAAAGAAUUCGCAAGUUGAUGGCGGAACAACAAAUGAUGUUGUUUAAACAGCUGCAAGUGCAUCAAUCCACUACAAACCCAACCCACUUGGCGAUCAAAAAUAUCCGUACACUCGUUACCCUCAUUCAGUACCAAACUACCCGAAUCUAUGGCCGAAUUUAAUUCCUUGGGUCGUUCUUGCUAUUCAUGCUAAUCCCCAUUCAAUACAAGCUCCUUAUAUGAUGUCGUUUUUUAGUAGACUCCUAAAAAAUAGAACAGUUUUUUGUAGGUCUAAUUGCCGGAAGAUAGGUCACAAAAUGUGAUCAUUCUGUAUCAUAACGACUCCUUCAUGAGGUUUUUAUGGUAAAAUUUUUAAAUUCCAAAAAUGAUAUAAGCAUUAUUUAGCUUUGUGUGUAACGUUUUCCUAAUCACUCCAUCCGCUAACUCACUGUAUCAAAAUGGAAUUGGUCAAUUCAAUGUAUGUAAAUUGAAACUUUUUUCGAAUGAGAAUCUCAGGCAUUAAAAAAAACAAACUAGGUCAAGUUUGGCAGUCCAAUUUUUUCAACCCUUCAGGAAGCGCGCCGUUGUAAAAGCGCGCCUUCUGAAAGGUUGAAUAGACAAAGACAUAAUAGUUGAAAUAGCUGCAACAUUUUUUUUAAUGUAGGAAAAGUUUAUGCUGCCGAGCGAGUUGGGUAUUUGUCCAGUUUGAAGUGGAUUCAUGAAGUUGCGGCCAUAAAUGAUUUGGUAUUUCGACAUCAGGUAGCUAUUUCCCUUCACCGCAUGUUCUAUUCCAUGUGUUGCGGUUUUACAAAUGCUGGUGGCCAUCACAAACCUAAAAUUAAAGAAAAACCAUUACUUUUUCAUACAUAAACUCUUGUAAACCUUUGUAAACAUCCAAGAUGAAAAUUUUUGACAUUUUGCUGGAGUUGAACUGAAAUUUAUCGGCUACUAUGAUGAGCUCUGAUGCUGCAAGGGUUGUCGGCAAGAAUUGUCAAAGUUGGAUCACCCCUCAUCAUAGCGUAAAAAGC